UACGGGGGGAGCAAGCGUUGUUCGGAUUUACUGGGCGUAAAGGGCGCGUAGGCGGCCACCGCAAGUCGACUGUGAAAUCUCCGGGCUUAACCCGGAAAGGUCAGCCGAUACUGCGGGGCUAGAGUGCAGAAGGGGCAACUGGAAUUCUCGGUGUAGCGGUGAAAUGCGUAGAUAUCGAGAGGAACACCUGCGGCGAAGGCGGGUUGCUGGGCUGACGCUGACGCUGACAGCGCGAAAGCUAGGGGAGCGAACGGG
rnacentral:rRNA from 1 species